UACGAAGGGGGCUAGCGUUGUUCGGAUUUACUGGGCGUAAAGCGCACGUAGGCGGUUUGUUAAGUCAGGGGUGAAAUCCCACAGCUCAACUGUGGAACUGCCUUUGAUACUGGCAAGCUAGAGUCCGGAAGGGGUAAGUGGAACUCCUAGUGUAGAGGUGGAAAUUCGUAGAUAUUAGGAAGAACACCAGUGGCGAAGGCGGCUUACUGGUCCGGAACUGACGCUGAGG
rnacentral:rRNA from 1 species